GACGAACGCUGGCGGCGUGCUUAACACAUGCAAGUCGAACGGUAAGGCCCUUCGGGGUACACGAGUGGCGAACGGGUGAGUAACACGUGGGUGAUCUGCCCUGCACUUCGGGAUAAGCCUGGGAAACUGGGUCUAAUACCGGAUAGGACCACUGCCUGCAUGGGUGGUGGUGGAAAGCUUUUGCGGUGUGGGAUGGGCCCGCAGCCUAUCAGCGUGUUGGUGGGGUGAUGGCCUACCAAGGCGACGACGGGUAGCCGGCCUGAGAGGGUGACCGGCCACACUGGGACUGAGAUACGGCCCAGACUCCUACGGGAGGCAGCAGUGGGGAAUAUUGCACAAUGGGCGCAAGCCUGAUGCAGCGACGCCGCGUGAGGGAUGACGGCCUUCGGGUUGUAAACCUCUUUCAGCACCGACGAAGCGCAAGUGACGGUAGGUGCAGAAGAAGGACCGGCCAACUACGUGCCAGCCGCCGCCGUAAUAC
rnacentral:rRNA from 1 species